rnacentral:lncRNA from 1 species
AUACUGACAUUAUGAUUAUAUAAAAUCUUUCUCUUACUGAAAAUAGCUGAGGUGAGGAAAUAGAUUGAAAAACAUCUGCCUGUUCAGCUCUGGACCACAGUGAUGGCAGUGUGCUUCUUGCUGGGGAGCUAGCAUCUUGGAGUACUUAAGUGUUUCUACUUGGAUUUUUUGAAAGCAAGGAUGAAAUGUUCUGCAUCUUCUCUCUUUCUAAACAAAUAGCAGCCUAGAAUCUUCCCUGGAAUAUCUACCAAGGGAGAUAUUCUUAAGAAGAUUAAAUGGGAGAUAAAAUAUGUAUACAUGAAAGUGGAGACUCUUCUAUCAAAG